rnacentral:rRNA from 1 species
AUUGAACGCUGGCGGCAUGCCUUACACAUGCAAGUCGAACGGCAGCACGGGUGCUUGCACCUGGUGGCGAGUGGCGAACGGGUGAGUAAUACAUCGGAACGUACCUUAUCGUGGGGGAUAACGCAGCGAAAGCUGUGCUAAUACCGCAUACGCCCUGAGGGGGAAAGCGGGGGAUCGAAAGACCUCGCGCGAUUAGAGCGGCCGAUGCCUGAUUAGCUUGUUGGUGGGGUAAAAGCCCACCAAGGCGACGAUCAGUAGCUGGUCUGAGAGGACGAUCAGCCACACUGGGACUGAGACACGGCCCAGACUCCUACGGGAGGCAGCAGUGGGGAAUUUUGGACAAUGGGGGCAACCCUGAUCCAGCAAUACCGCGUGAGUGAAGAAGGCCUUCGGGUUGUAAAGCUCUUUUGUCAGGGAAGAAACACCGGCUCUAACACAGUCCGGGAAUGACGGUACCUGAAGAAUAAGCACCGGCUAACUACGUGCCAGCCGCCGUAAAAC